rnacentral:misc_RNA from 1 species
GAUGAAGAACGUAGCGAAAUGCGAUACGUAAUGUGAAUUGCAGAAUUCAGUGAAUCAUCGAGUCUUUGAACGCACAUUGCGCCCCCUGGUAUUCCGGGGGGCAUGCCUGUCCGAGCGUCAUUGCUGCCCUCAAGCCCGGCUUGUGUGUUGGGUCUCGUCCCCCUUCCCGGGGGGACGGGCCCGAAAGGCAGCGGCGGCACCGCGUCCGGUCCUCGAGCGUAUGGGGCUUUGUCACCCGCUCUGUGGGCCCGGCCGGCGCUUGCCGAUCAACCAAAACUUUUUUCCAGGUUGACCUCGGAUCAGGUAGGGAUACCCGCUGAACUUAAGCAUAUCAAUAAGCGGAGG